UACGUAGGGGGCUAGCGUUGUCCGGAAUCACUGGGCGUAAAGCGCACGUAGGCGGAUUCUUAAGUCAGGGGUGAAAUCCUGGAGCUCAACUCCAGAACUGCCUUUGAUACUGGGAGUCUCGAGUCCGGGAGAGGUGAGUGGAACUGCGAGUGUAGAGGUGAAAUUCGUAGAUAUUCGCAAGAACACCAGUGGCGAAGGCGGCUCACUGGCCCGGUACUGACGCUGAGGUGCGAAAGCGUGGGGAGCAAACAGG
rnacentral:rRNA from 1 species